rnacentral:misc_RNA from 1 species
GAUGAAGAACGUAGCGAAAUGCGAUACGUAAUGUGAAUUGCAGAAUUCAGUGAAUCAUCGAAUCUUUGAACGCAUAUUGCGCUCUCUGGUAUUCCGGAGAGCAUGCUUGUUUGAGUAUCAGUAAACACCUCAACUUCCAUAUCUUUUUUGAAAUGGGAGUUGGACUUGAGUGAUCCCAACGCUUUUCCUCACCGAAAAGUGGCGGGUUACUUGAAAUGCAGGUGCAGCUGGACUUUUCUCUGAGCUAGAAGCAUAUCUAUUUAGUCUGCCUAAAAACAGAUUAUUACCUUUGCUGCAGCUAACAUAAAGGAGAUUAGUUCUUGUGCUGACUGAUGCAGGAUUCACAAAGACAGGCUUCGGCCGACUUUGUAAACUCGAUCUCAAAUCAAGUAAGACUACCCGCUGAACUUAAGCAUAUCAAUAAGCGGAGGA